CUAUGUUCAGAGGCAAUGGUUCAAGCUUUAUUCUAUGGUUCAAGUACACUCCGUCAGAGGCCACGUUGCCGUCCGAUUCAAAGGAUUGAGCCUCAAUCAUCCUUCCACUUAUAUAUUCAGUACCACGAAACACCGCUAGGGUAUCGAAAGAAAGAUGUCAGCGUCCAUUAAAAAGUUUGACACAAUGAUUUGGUACACAAACGGUGAUCUGUUUUCUGCAUUUGAAAGAAUGCAAUUCCAAGCAAAUUUAUGCCAAGCUGGUGGUGGUGCACGGUGACAACGUCCCAACUAAUGACACUGUUUUGAAACUGCGCAGACGAUUUCAAUGCGAUCAAGCUAGCCUGGACGACGAGGAACAAUGUAACCGACCGUCGCUCGAUGGUGAACAACAAAUUACUAAUGGAAGUGGAGGCUCCAUUGCUCUGGCGGAUAUCUGUUGAACAAAUAGUGCCGCAGGAUAACGUGAGUGCGGGCUCAGUGCAUAGUAUCCACCGUGACAAAGGUAGCCGCGCUCUGGUUUGAACGAAUGCUCACAGCAAUACAGAAUGAGAAUGACUUGCAAGCUGCGGCAAUAAUGUUAAAGCGUUGCGAGAGCCACACUGAUAACGUACUCGACCGCCUCGUCAUCAUGGAUGAGUGUUGGGUCCACCAUUAUGACCCAGGAACGAAAUCGCAAAGCAAACAGCACGUGAACUGUUAGACUCUCACAGGGGCACUCACCAGUCCGCGCCGGCAUCACGAAAUGCCAUACUAAGCGUAUUCUGGGACUGCCCUGGUGCUCUUCUCACAGAUUAUGCCCACGUAGGCCAAACAAUCACAGGGAAAGGAACUUUCUAUUUGAGCUAGUUUAUGCUUCCCCGGAAACAUACUCGUCACUUAAAGUAUGCCACACAAACCACAGAGAUCACGCAAAACACGAUAAUCCGGGCGGCAGUUGCGGCUGAUGCGGGUACGAAACUAAUAGUAAAUCAUGUCUCAUGUCGAGAAGGCAUCAGUCACAUCUUACGGGACAACCAUCACUCAAAGAAUCUAAUUUCAAACUUGUAUAACUGUACGGACGUAUCCUUUAUACAUUCGCUGUCUAACUCUUUAAUGCGAAGCAUCAAAGCCCCAAGGGAAGAUACCUGCACCAUGCCGACAGAAUAUACAAAUGGCUCCAUUAGUGUGAAGGACUGUUACUGUGUGGACUGUUAACGACACAGGGGCCUUAAAUGUGACUCUCACAGGGAACGGCAUCUGUGGCAGUGUCUCAUGUGAGUCUACAUCACGGUUCUCCACACAAGCACGCAGAUUCACCAAAGAAUACACAGAGAUGCUAUCGCCAUUCCACAGGCCAGCACAGGAAAGACUAUGUAAAAGGAUCAAAGGCCAACAUCUACAGAAAAAAUAACCUUAGAUCUUGAUGCCUAAACGAACAAGUCCACCGACAGCAGUGCAUCGCAUUUCCUUUGGUCUCAUUUUCGAUUCUCUGCCAUAUGUAUAGGUGUAUAUGAUAUCUGGAUAAAAGUGUUCACCACAGAACCUAAGAACUAGCACCAUUCAUUCACCCUGUUCAAAAUAUGUUGCAGAGCCUUUCGAGAGAAAAUUAGUUGCUUAGAUGCAGUGAUUUUUUUUUUCUUCAUGCCUCCAGAGUUGUGCAGACUUUUUUGUUGUUGUUGUUGUAUAUCUAUGUGCAUGCAGGUGUGUGUUCCAAAAUGACUGAAAGAAGAGUACCUGAGCAUAUAAGCUCGACUGGUUAAAAAAAAAAAAAUCUGUUCACUAUGGCUUCUAUAAAAGUUGUCGUAUAGUUGCCUUUGCUUUGUUUAAUCUUGCACAGUUAUGGUGUGAAGUAUUAUGAAAUAAUUCUAUAUUUUUUGGGCUUUGCAAAUAGUGACUAUUCAAUUCAAGGGCCAAAUUGAAUAAAUUAUUAGUUAAAAGUCAUCUAACCGCUAACUAACAUACCACUAGCCAUUUGCAUUCACCAUCAUCAUCGUCAGACAUAAAUAAGCUGCAGGAUGCAUAUAAAAGAAAAUCGUGGCUUAAAAUGAGUGAGGGGAUUUGAAUCCACUAGUAGAUGUUAAGAUUGUUCUAAAUCAUUUCUUGGAACCAGAGAAUGUUUGGUUAUUUUAUAAGAUAUGGUAGAUAAUUACAUGCUAUUGUAGUAUGCAUACAGCACUAAAACACAUUAUGGAAAGAAUAUUUGCACUGGACUCGCGGAUGACAAGAAGCUGGUGAAGGACGAAUCAGCCUCUUGAACGAGCAGCCAAAGAACCAAAUACACAGGCAUGCAGGGCGCAGACUAUGUAGCAAAGUGGACAGUUGGGCGUGUUGCUUAACGGCCAUAUUUGAAACAGCAAAAAUGGGACAGGUACUUCUUCCUGAGUCUUUUACCUGGCUUGCGCUAUUUCAGAGUAUGUAUGCACUUUCGCUCUACAUGUACUACAACACCACAAUAAAACGUAAAUACGAGCAAACUUGAGACAUUGUUAUUUUGGUGAGUUAAUGCCAUUGGACAACGGGAAAAAUAUUUGCUGUCGCAAAAUAAGACUACACACACCGCUGAGUGUUAGAUUUGACAUCUUUCUGCUUUUCUCUUCUGCAUCGGAUCAAAUUGGUAUCCAUUGCACAUGAAAGCUACGCCGAUUUAGUAUCUGCUCCAAGGAACCAAAAGCGCUGUUUAACUCUGCCAGACUACUCGGUGCGAUUACACAUACGCAGAAGCUGCGCACCACCAACACAAUUGUUCAUCUUGCUAAAACACACAUUUCGCUGUCCACAUUCGCCACUGUGUGAGUGGCACUAGUGAGAAAGCUAGUAUUGUGACUAAAGCGUGUUUAGUGUAGAGUUAUGCCACAACCACAUGCCAUGAUUUCACCUAAUUGGAAGAGGUGUUCUGUGUCACAUCCUGUUCUAUUCUGAUAUCGUGCUGGAAACUGGACAAUGACAGGCUUGGCUCAACUUUUCUUUAAUAUAUACUUUGGACAGGUUGUUUAAAGACCUCUUUGGGCGACAUCACAUAAGAGGUGGAAUAAUAAAACAACAUAAAUGCAUAAAUGUACCCUGUGUUGUCAUCAAAUGUUCUUCAGAGUACAUUGUGAGAAUGUAUGUUGGUAGACUAUGUUAGUGAUUUGGCAGAAAAUGCUUUUCCAUCCUGGUUGCACAGGAAAAUAAUGGUGUGUGGAACACAUUCAUGUAUGCACACUGGCAGAAAACUUUGCAAGGUUAUGAUAUAUUUUGGGCAAAUCAAGACACCUGUAAAGCUUCAAAAUAAACCAUCCUUUUCCUACCAAGUCACUGACAUAACCUGCCUAACAUCCUUGUGGUCGUUCACUAUUGUUCCCAUUUGCCUCUUCUCACUACCUGUGUGCGAUUGCUUCUUGCGCUAACAUAAGGAGAACCAUGUCCUUCACUGACAACUGCAGCCUUGGGAUAGCGAACCAACAUGCUCAUUGGUGCAGAAAACUGCAGGUAGUAUGUUUUGCUCAGAAUGUGUCGCUUUCUU